GUGUCUGUAGCCUAGUUGGUAAAGGAAGCACUCUGUUAUGUGACUCAGCAUUGCUGAGGUUGUGAGUACAAAUCUCACCAGGCACA
rfam:Puccinia graminis f. sp. tritici CRL 75-36-700-3 supercont2.19 genomic scaffold, whole genome shotgun sequence.